UGAUACUCAAUAUUGAGUGCUUAGGACAAGCGAGCUCUUCCGCAAUUCACUGUUAAAAUAGUGAGUCAUCAUGCAACAACCAUUUUGGUUGGCACUAACUGUUAUGGUUGCAUCCGUGAGUGAGGCUUGCGAAGAGGACCGAGCAAACUACUCCGUCUUCUACGACGUCGGCACUGACGAGGAAGUGACGCUCUUUCCGUGCCUGCAAUGCUUUGCUCUGCCUUGUGUCAGCGAGCGAGAAAAAGUGAGAACGCCCAUGGAUGGGGCGAAGAAGUAUUGCUGUAGAAGGUGCUCCCACGUCGCGGUGGCUGGCUCUGCAUGCAGUCUUCAGCGGGACGAGUCGGCCGUCGUCUGCCAUAAAGGGAAUAUCUGCAGCGUCACCCAAAAGGUCUGCGUCGAAGAGUGUCCGCUGCCGCCCAUGCCAUAAAACAUACAAGGUGACCCACAACCGAGGCCUCGGUUUUUCAUGGACACUUUCAGAAAUGACUGAAUGAAAGAAUGAAUGUUCCGAAAUCUACACAGUGGCCACCGUGGCUCGACAUCGAACCGUCGACCUCGAGCUCAGCAGAAGUGCGCGACCGCCACUGAGCGACCACGACGGGUAGAGAGCAAACAUUGCAAAAGUAAAAAUAAGAAUACUAAAUGUAGAAAUAUUUUUUUACAAUAAACAAGUUACUUAAAAAUAGAGGAAUGAGAAUAACGCGUUGUUUAGUGGUCUACUAUAAAAAUGGCAGAAUAAAUUCAAAAUUGAAACAAGACGUAAAAAUUUGAA